rnacentral:lncRNA from 1 species
UUCCCUCUGUGUUUUUCAGAAAUCCUGUUUGCAAGGUCAUUAAUCACCUUAUCCAUUAUCCCAGGAACAAAUGGAUUUGUCGCUUGAGCUCAGAAGCCGAGGUUGAUUCUGAAAACAAAUUGUAUCAAAAUAAAUGAAAUUAUUAUGAUAAUAUAAAAUAGACCACAGUGAUUAAUCUCCAGAAACCAAAUUUUGACCUGUUUUGCACUUCAAAACAAUAGCUUCUGUUAUGUAAAUACUUGUGGGGUUUUCAAGGACAACAUUUACUAAAUUACAAGAAAAGUUCUUUUCGUGAAAAAUCUCCCCGUGGAUAAACAUUAGAGAUAGAAAAUCCGGUCUACACAACACCCAAGGCAGAGGACAAUGGAAGUGAUGGUGGUUCAGGAAUCACUUCAAUUCCCUGACUACUUGGUUGGCUUUCUUUGAGAUUCCUUCCAGAUAUCUGGCCUUUUCACCCUGGAGUUCCUGCAUCCAGAGUGGCUCUUCUGUAAAGGUCAGUGUUGAAUCCCAUUUCCGCUGGGUGAGUUCACCUUUGUCACAUGCUUGAUAGAUACCACUGGCCUUUGUGCUCAGAGAGGAUCUGCCCUUGAAAACUAGUUCCACUCUCUGUCUAAGC